rnacentral:rRNA from 1 species
CGCAGCCACGGGAAUACAGAGGGUGCGAGCGUUAAUCGGAUUUACUGGGCGUAAAGCGUGCGUAGGCGGCUUCUUAAGUCGGAUGUGAAAUCCCUGAGCUUAACUUAGGAAUUGCAUUCGAUACUGGGAAGCUAGAGUAUGGGAGAGGAUGGUAGAAUUCCAGGUGUAGCGGUGAAAUGCGUAGAGAUCUGGAGGAAUACCGAUGGCGAAGGCAGCCAUCUGGCCUAAUACUGACGCUGAGGUACGAAAGCAUGGGGAGCAAACAGGAUUAGAUACCCCUGUAGUCCCUGUCUCUUAUACC